UUUAUCGUACAUUGUUUUUUAAUUGAAUUCAUGUCAAUAAUUUUUUUCACCGCAAUUUAUAACGAUAUUACAUUUUGCAUAUAUCACACGGGAGUGCGAUCUAAUUCAAACAAAACCUAUACACACAGAAACAGUAAAAAGAUAAAAUUAUAAGCAGACUCUAAAAAGCUAAGAACAUUUCUUAGAAUUUGUAACUGGUUUGCAUUUGUUUUCCAUUCCAUCUUGAUUUUCAGCAGGAAUUGAAGCUUUCUUCUUGGAAUCUUGAAAAAGUUUCCUUAGCUUCGUAAAUGAACUUCCUCUUUGUUUUAGAAUCCAUGACAUUAUUGAUCGAUGAGAAUAAUUCACAGAGAGAUGCAAGCGUUUUAU
rnacentral:lncRNA from 1 species